GACGUCGUGCCCGAGUGGUUAAGGGGAGUGAUUAGAAUCACCAUCUCUAAUGCGAUGAUUGAAAUAUCACUUACGCUCUGCGUGCGCAAGUUCGAGUCUUGUCGACGUCG